AUAACACACAUUAUUUUUGACCAUUUCUUUUUUAAAUCCUGAAAAUCCAGCAUGAGUUACAAUGCAGGUACUUUAUAGAUGUAAAAGUACAAUCAAGGGAUAAUAUCAUGUCAGAUGAAUUGCAAGUUUCUGGGAGAACAGGGAGAUUAUUCUACAGAUUAUAACCCACACAAUGAAUUUGGCAGGUUCUGCCCACUAUAGAUAAAUAGCUAUUUGAUCAAAAGAUCUUCUUUCCUUCUCUGAAGAAAGCUGAAAGGUUUAACUCAGGAGGGACUCCAAGGGGAACAUUUAACAGAAAUCACAGAAAUUGAAAUUGAGUCAAAAUGCUGACUGGAGAAUUUCCCUGCUGCAACUCUGUUUAUUGGGAACUCUUCUGCGGUGAAGUAUUUCAUUGGCCCGAUACUUUACAUCAGGGGUUCUCAAACUUGGUCCUGGGCCCCAUGUGUGUGUGUUUUUUUUAGUCACUUGAUCGGGUGACGUGUUAAAUUUUUCCAUGUUUUCCUUAAAUGUAUUAACAGCAUUCAGGUUUGGGUAAUUGCUAUUUGCUUUGUCUUCAUUUUAAACUAGUAAUUUUCCAUUAAUAAUUUAGUUUCAGUGAUCAAGUGUCGCCAUUUUAGGACCCUACUGAUGUACCAAAUGAUUCAUGAAUUAAUGUUGACCACAGAAUUCGUAUGUAACAAGAACGUAGAUGACUUAUCUUUACAUAGCUGUACCUACAGUGGGAGGGGGCAGCCAUGGUGUUGUGAAGAGGUGUCUUCGGUCUAUGUUGGAAGAUGGGAAGGGUUUCUGCUGUCCUGACUGCAGUGGGAGGAUCCUUCCAGCACCACAGAGCUAGGGUAAAACAGACAGGAGAUGUGACCUAGAAGUGUAAGUAUGUAAGGAGCAGGGGGUGCCAGAUGUUCAGAGGUAGCAGAACUGAGAUGUCCGUGCUGUCUGAUGAUCGUUUGAAAACAUAACAGAGCUGUCCUUUUAGCUGCCCGAUAAGCUAGAACCAAUAUUUUGAAUUUGAUGUGCGCUGAUGUAGGUAUCCAGUGGAUGGAGGUACUGUAAGAAGGGGAGUGCCAUGGCUGAGCCUGAGGAGGUUGUAGAUCAUGCAACAGGAGUGACCAUCCCUGUUCAGGAAAAAAAGGCAAGAGGGAGGAGCCGUUCUGAGAGAAGUUGUGCAGAGGGUGGGAGCAUGUGUAAAAAGUUUGCUCAUUGCCGAUAUCCCAUUCAGAACACGGCAUCCUUUGUUCAGAAACGCAGGUCAACGAGUGUGAAGGCACAUCGAAUUGAAAUUGGCUGCAUCUCUAAUUCAACUUAGAUUCAGUCAGGUCUUAAAAGAGAAAUGUCUGGAUACAGCUAUGCGGUUUUUAGAAUGUCACAUCUUAAGGCUAUAUUUACUGGUUAAUUUCAGUACUUGUAGGUCGCAUAGUACAUUUAUGUGGAAAAAUAGAUGGAAAAAAUGUGUUUACACUAACUGUACUGUUAUGAUGAACUACAAAUUCUGUAUUAAAAUAGAGUCUAAGCAGGGACUUGUUGUAUAAACAGUUACAUUUAUGUGACCCGCUUGGAAACCUGUUUAACAUAAUAACGAAUUCAACAAAAACGAAAACAACAACAACAGAAUAACAAAAAUGACAAGAAUAAAUUGUUUUAGGAUGCCAAAAAAAAUCUUUAUGUUCCUCUGUAAAACAUACCCCCCUGACAACAAGUUGCCUAUCCAUUCCAUAUUCUAUUCUCCAUGCAUUACUGAACAAAUUCAUACACUAGGAAUAUUCUCUGUGCAUUACUGAAUGAAUGCACACAUUAGGUAUUCUGUUUCAAUGUAAUCUUAAAUCCAUUUCUGGAAGGCAUUUCUGCAGCUGUAGGAGUUGUGGUCUGGCUGUUCCUUCUCAUACAAAAUUUUUUCCAUCAGUUCAGAUAUUUGCUUUCAACACUUCAUUUAAAAUUUUGUCAAUUCCAGCGCAGCACAACCAUUGAGAACCAAGAGUUAAUUUUGGCUAAAGCCGAAGACAUUGCCAUCUUCAAGUGAAAGAGCUGGAAUUUCUCGUUGCUGCGUUCAAAGGAGGUUGGCCAAGCAAAGAGCAUGUUUUAAUUAGUCGGUCUCAUUCAUGUGCAAUAAAUCAAAUGGAGACUGAUGCCAGUGCUUGAGAGUGUGAUUUGCCUGGCAAAUGCAAAUUGUCCUCUCGUCAGAUGUAGGGCAGGGGUGAUGGGAAAGCAGGGCCAAAAUGGAUGCAGCUACUCUCUGCUGUGAAUUACUAACUUGUUCAAACCAAAAAGAAAAUACUUUAGCUCUCGUUUUAACAGUACAGUGCCUUGAAAAAUAUUCCCCCUUCCUGAUUUUUCCUGUUAUUGCAUAUUUGUCACACUGAAUAGUUUAAUAUCUUCAGACAAAAUGUAAUAUUAGACCUGAGUAAGGAAGGGGGCAAAUACUUUUUCAUGGGACUGUAUGUUCAGUUUGAAUUACUGACUAUUACUGAAUCAUACUAUUAUUGUAUGAGGCCACUUCUUUCUGGGCUGCGGU